CUACGGGCCGCAGCAGUGGGGAAUAUUGGACAAUGGAGGAAACUCUGAUGCAGCAACGCCGCGUGGAGGAUGACACUUUUCGGAGCGUAAACUCCUUUUAUAUAGGAAGAUAAUGACGGUACUAUAUGAAUAAGCACCGGCUAACUCCGUGCCAGCAGCCGCGGUAAUACGGAGGGUGCAAGCGUUACUCGGAAUCACUGGGCGUAAAGAGCGUGUAGGCGGGUUAAUAAGUCAGAAGUGAAAUCCUAUGGCUCAACCAUAGAACUGCUUUUGAAACUGUUAACCUAGAGUGUGGGAGAGGUAGAUGGAAUUUCUGGUGUAGGGGUAAAAUCCGUAGAGAUCAGAAGGAAUACCGAUUGCGAAGGCGAUCUACUGGAACAUAACUGACGCUGAGACGCGAAAGCGUGGGGAGCAAACAGGAUUAGAUACCCCCGUAGUC
rnacentral:rRNA from 1 species